UUUACAUCAUACUUUCAUUUUUAUCGGAAUUCCCAGUCCUUAAAAUAGACGUAUUAUAUUAUCAAUAUUCAUAUGCACAUGGUUCAUAACUGCAAUGCCUUCAUGAGGAAAGCGCUAUCACUACAAUUGGUAAAGAUAUUAAAGGCAAAACAACUUUGGAAAUGUAAAUAUUUGAAUGUAUGAAAGGUGAAAAUAACACUCAGUGAUUAAUCUCAUAACUCCUGGAUACACCAGAGGUGGGAUCAGGUGCCUAGGAGGAGUAAGCAUUCCCUGUCGACCGGUCACACCCGCCGAGAGCCCUAUAUCUUGAUCAGGACCCAUCGUCAAGAGCUAAAUAGCAUGUGUAGGUCGCAUAGUACUUUGUAACAGUCACCCCGGUACAGCAUGACAAAGGUAUGUACUUAACGCCAUCAUGACAGUCACCGGAAAUAAUACACCAUGACGUCACGUUGAAUACAUUGCCUGGCCCAGUAAUAGUGUCAAUCCCACAACAAUCAAGCUGGAAAUUAAAGUCCUCAAUCAAUCAUCAAUGAAAAUAAGAUACAAGACACAAUUACACGUAUACAAGUAGAUGUGUGACUUACGGACAUGAAAAGGAAAUUCCAGGCGUUGGAAAUCGAAUUGGCGUUAGUAAGGGUAUCGUCUUUGAAGUUACUAGAAAGCGAGGCAGUUAGCUGUGUUCUUCCAUCAUUUUCCAACUGAAAAAAAACCCUUCCAUAUUCAACAUCAUGAAGAGGAUGCAUUAUGCAGAGAAAUGAAGACUGUUCUGUGAGGUACUAAAAUAAACAUUGGUUUGUACUGUGAGGUACUAAAAUAAACAUUGGUUUGUACUGUGAGGUACUAAAUUAAACAUUGGUUUGUACUGUGAGGUACUAAAAUAAACAUUGGUUUGUAUUGCGUGAUACUAAAUUAAACAUUGGUUUGUACUGUGAGGUACUAAAAUAAACAUUGGUUUGUAUUGCGUGAUACUAAAAUAAACAUUGGUUUGUAUUGCGUGAUACUAAAAUAAACAUUGGUUUGUACUGUGAGGUACUAAAUUAAACAUUGGUUUGUACUGUGAGGUACUUAUAAAUACAUGUAUCUACCCGAUGCAAUGUGCAGAGAAAUAGACAUUGAUAUGCACUGCGUGUUACUGAAGUCAACACGACAUUGUUUGAACUAUUUAGUAAUUCAAGAUUCCGUAAGACCUUGUGCUUGUCACUCAACGAGCUUUAUCGGUCAUGCUUGCUUUUUGAUGGGUUUGAGUUCCGGUGACGACACACUUGAGUCGUUAAUAAAUAUAUUACAUAGCUAGUAUUUCCUCGCCAGGCGCUUUAGCAGUGGUUCGUAUGAGACAUACAAAGAAUUUUUACUAUUGUCUUCAAUAGUCCAGAGAUCCUGGCGUAUAAACAAAAUACAGAUAUUCUCUCCAUACUCGUAAAUUGAUGCAAGUCUCGUCAGAAUCCCGUGUUCUUUGGCACCAUCAGUGCUUGAGGAGACGACCCUAAUCGGCUCUUAGGCCUCAUCCCCCGAUAUAUACCGCUAUAUUCGGCUAAUUUUUGUUAUCGGUGCGUAAUGGACGGAGCAAUAGGAGGCCAUCUUCAUAUCACAAGUACAGAGAUGUGCUGAGAACUUACAUUACACUUCACAAUACAUCAUCAGUCACUAAUUACCUUUAUUUUAGUGUUAAUCCACAUGGACACCGCCACCAGAUUGGACACAAACAAGGCGGCGAUUACAACAUUGUACUACAACAGAGAACAAAUACUUUAAAGGUGUCAUGGCUCAGAAACAAAAAAGGUCGGGGGAGGGGUGAUUACCCGUAUGCAUACCAGGGGCGGAUCCAGAAAUUGUGAUUACGGAGGCGCCACUUUAUAAGGCAGUGGGUGCAAUGCGAAGCCCUGGUGGGGGUCCAGGGGGCGAAGCCCCCGGAAACUCCUGGAUUUUACAGAUUUUAUGGUGCUUGAAAUAUUUCUCCUAUUAAGUCAUUUGUACUAUUUUCUAUCAUUUUAAUAAGGUGAAAUUAAUAAAAUGACUAAAAUUUUAAGGGGGUUUUGGAAAAAAUUAAGUUCUCCCAAUAAAGUAAUUCAAAAAAUCAAA